UAUUAAAAAUUUCAUCCAUUUGUACUGUUAAAAACUAUCAUACUUGACGGAAUAACUAGAUAGUGACAUGUGGUGUGCCACAUGUACCUCAUACUGACGUACAGGGACCAGUUUUUAAUAGCAAAAAUAGAUAAAACUUUUAACA
rfam:Gossypium raimondii Chr01_contig_1291, whole genome shotgun sequence.